AUUGAACGCUGGCGGCAGGCCUAACACAUGCAAGUCGAGCGGUAGAGAGAAGCUUGCUUCUCUUGAGAGCGGCGGACGGGUGAGUAAUGCCUAGGAAUCUGCCUGGUAGUGGGGGAUAACGUUCGGAAACGGACGCUAAUACCGCAUACGUCCUACGGGAGAAAGCAGGGGACCUUCGGGCCUUGCGCUAUCAGAUGAGCCUAGGUCGGAUUAGCUAGUUGGUGGGGUAAUGGCUCACCAAGGCGACGAUCCGUAACUGGUCUGAGAGGAUGAUCAGUCACACUGGAACUGAGACACGGUCCAGACUCCUACGGGAGGCAGCAGUGGGGAAUAUUGGACAAUGGGCGAAAGCCUGAUCCAGCCAUGCCGCGUGUGUGAAGAAGGUCUUCGGAUUGUAAAGCACUUUUAAGUUUGGGAGAAGGGCAGUAAAUUAAUACUUUGCUGUUUUGACGUUUACCGACAGAAUAAGCACCGGCUAACUCUGUGCCAGCCG
rnacentral:rRNA from 1 species